rnacentral:lncRNA from 1 species
ACUAUCCACCUACCACCAUCAUCUCAACCCUACAUCUCUCCAUCCAAUGGUGAAAAACUCAAAAGUUUGAAAGUAUUCUAGCUCAAUUUUCUAUAUAUAUAUAUAUAUAUAUAUAUAUAUAUAUAUAUAGUGAGCUGGUAUGCUUCUAGAAGCACGGACCCUUCUGUGCUUCCAAGUCAUUUUCGAUGUUGGGACUUUCGAACCGACGAUUGGCUCCGUCGAAUUUGAUUUAGAGUAUUUGAAGUACCUAGAAAAUAAAUUUUGUGAUUUUUCGAUAUCAUUUGCCUAGUGAUCGAAGGAGCUCAAAAUCAAUAAUUUUAAUAGCCGUAGUGAGCUGUUUACAAGUUUAACGGUAUAGAAAUAUUCAAAUCACGUGAAAUUUUGAUAGAAAAUUUUUUAUACUAUAUAAAACAAGAUCAAUAUCUUUGAUUUAAAAUUUUAAUGUCAUAUUAUUACAUUUUGUAAGAUUUUUAUUUUCAGCCGUUGAUUUUGAGCCCCUUCGUUCACUAGGCAAAUGGUAUCGUAAAAUCAUAAAAUUUAUUUUCUAGGUACUUCAAAUACUCUAGAUCAAGUUUAACGGAGCCGAUCGACGAUUCGAAAAUCGCAACAUCGAAAACGAGCUGGAAGCACGGAAGGCUCCGUGCUUCCGAUAGCAUAGUAGCCUCACUCUAUAUAUAUAUAUAUAUAUAUAUAUAUAUAUAUAUAUAUUUAUUUAUUUAUUUAUUUAUUUAUUUAUUCUAUCUAUAUCUAAAAAUUCUAAACCUAAUUUCUCCUCGUCCUUUUCUUUUGUUGCAGCCAUCUCUUCUGUCGUGCCUCCUCUCCUACCGCAACGUUCUACCAUCCUGACCUAUAUAUGUAAAAUAUUUUUAUAUGUAAUUAUGUGGUUCAAGACUUUUAUUAUUUAUUGUAUGUUAUUAUUUCAAAUAACAAGUUAUAUUGUAAUUUUUUUUUUGAGAGAAAAAUAGCAUAUUAUCCGCUUCGUUUUUUUUUAUUUUUUAUUUAGAAAUAAACUUAGCUGGAAAUGUAAAUCAAUUAGGAUUGGAACUUGGGUCUCAGAUACCAACCAUCAAGUUCUUUUGUCAUUUGCUCUAGAGGGAUGGUCGGUUUAUAUUGUAAUAUUUUAAAAAUUAUGUAUAUAUAUUUUGUAUUUAAAAAAUAUAGAAUUUAAAAAAAAAAGAAUAUGUUGUGCUAACA